GUUAGGUCCUUUUUGGACAGUGAUGGCGUGAGGACAAGAUGUAACUACGAGUGUCUCCGGGUUUCAGUGGUGGAUCCGUCAGGAUUCGCCACUGGAAGGUUUAGAUUCAAUAAGGCCUACAAGAUUAGGAUUUUAGUUGCUGCACCCAGCGACUGAGCUACCAUCAUUUCUGAACUAAAUUUGUGGGUUCAAGAGAGAAAGGACCUGAACACUGCAUUUGUGGAGUCAUGGAAAUCCAAUGUCACUUUUCUGCUGCUUCUAUUGACUCUAGCAGCCACACCUGAGGUCAUGAGUGUGGAUACGGUUUGUUCCCCAGAGAC
rnacentral:lncRNA from 1 species